rnacentral:rRNA from 1 species
UUGAAGAUCGGAGUGCUUGCACUCUGUGAAACAAGAUACAGGCUAGCGGCGGACGGGUGAGUAACACGUGGGUAACCUGCCCAAGAGAUCGGGAUAACACCUGGAAACAGAUGCUAAUACCGGAUAACAACAGAUGAUGCCUAUCAACUGUUUAAAAGAUGGUUCUGCUAUCACUCUUGGAUGGACCUGCGGUGCAUUAGCUAGUUGGUAGGGUAACGGCCUACCAAGGCGAUGAUGCAUAGCCGAGUUGAGAGACUGAUCGGCCACAUUGGGACUGAGACACGGCCCAAACUCCUACGGGAGGCAGCAGUAGGGAAUCUUCCACAAUGGACGCAAGUCUGAUGGAGCAACGCCGCGUGAGUGAAGAAGGGCUUCGGCUCAUAAAGCUCUGUUGUUGGUGAAGAAGGACAGGGGUAGUAACUGACCUUUGUUUGACGGUAAUCAAUUAGAAAGUCACGGCUAACUACGUGCCAGCAGCCGCGGUAAUACGUAGGUGGCAAGCGUUGUCCGGAUUUAUUGGGCGUAAAGCGAGUGCAGGCGGCUCGAUAAGUCUGAUGUGAAAGCCUUCGGCUCAACCGGAGAAUUGCAUCAGAAACUGUCGAGCUUGAGUACAGAAGAGGAGAGUGGAACUCCAUGUGUAGCGGUGAAAUGCGUAGAUAUAUGGAAGAACACCGGUGGCGAAGGCGGCUCUCUGGUCUGUUACUGACGCUGAGGCUCGAAAGCAUGGGUAG